GCAGUCGAGCGAAUGGAUUGAGAGCUUGCUCUCAAGAAGUUAGCGGCGGACGGGUGAGUAACACGUGGGUAACCUGCCCAUAAGACUGGGAUAACUCCGGGAAACCGGGGCUAAUACCGGAUAACAUUUUGAACUGCAUGGUUCGAAAUUGAAAGGCGGCUUCGGCUGUCACUUAUGGAUGGACCCGCGUCGCAUUAGCUAGUUGGUGAGGUAACGGCUCACCAAGGCAACGAUGCGUAGCCGACCUGAGAGGGUGAUCGGCCACACUGGGACUGAGACACGGCCCAGACUCCUACGGGAGGCAGCAGUAGGGAAUCUUCCGCAAUGGACGAAAGUCUGACGGAGCAACGCCGCGUGAGUGAUGAAGGCUUUCGGGUCGUAAAACUCUGUUGUUAGGGAAGAACAAGUGCUAGUUGAAUAAGCUGGCACCUUGACGGUACCUAACCAGAAAGCCACGGCUAACUACGUGCCAGCAGCCGCGGUAAUACGUAGGUGGCAAGCGUUAUCCGGAAUUAUUGGGCGUAAAGCGCGCGCAGGUGGUUUCUUAAGUCUGAUGUGAAAGCCCACGGCUCAACCGUGGAGGGUCAUUGGAAACUGGGAGACUUGAGUGCAGAAGAGGAAAGUGGAAUUCCAUGUGUAGCGGUGAAAUGCGUAGAGAUAUGGAGGAACACCAGUGGCGAAGGCGACUUUCUGGUCUGUAACUGACACUGAGGCGCGAAAGCGUGGGGA
rnacentral:rRNA from 1 species